CCCACGCUCGAUGACUUCAAACCACCGACCAGGUUUCACACUGCCCAGCUCUUCUCCGUCCGUGAAUCUGGAAGCCAGGCCGUGCUCUCCGCUGCCAAAUUUCUCCUAGGGGUUUCAUCCUCUCUUGAUGGUGAACCGCUGAGACGCUGCUCCGGCUUCUGGGUCGAUUGGGAUGAGGGGAACAAAACCGGCCUUGUUUUGACAACUGCGCGGCUCAUUCGCACAAAGGAUGCUCCUGACAACGUCUCGUCAGGCGGCGAACAGUAUGCCCCUCGUGCUGAUGUCACUGUUCAUUUGUUAAAUGGCACUAGUGCAAAGGGCGAGCUGGUCUACUAUCAGCCCCAUUACGAUAUCGCUUUCUUGAAUGUUAAGGUGGAUCAACCAUUCAAGUUACCAUCUCUUCGUGAAAAAGAUGUAAAAUUUGCUGAAGAGGUUUUUCAGCUCGGAAGAGACAAUUCCUUAAAUCUAAGGAUAACAUAUGCUAGGGCAAAGUAUAUGAAUCCAACCAUGUUUGAGCGGCACCACAACAUGUACUUUCAUUCUCUAGAUGGCCAUUACUAUGAUAAUGAGUAUGACAACGGGGGGCUAGUUAUUGACUUGAAUGGAAAAGUUGCCGGAAUGGUCAACAACCCUGAGGGAUUUGGGUCUUUUAUACCUUCUUCCAUCUUGCUCAAUUGUUUGGAUUCAUGGAAGAAAUAUCGGUACAUCCCUCGGCCCCAUCUUGGGAUGACAUUUAAGGCCGUCAAGCUUCUACAGCCUGCUCAUGUUGACAUGUUAUGGCGCAUGUGUAACAUUGAUGAUGGUCUUGUUGUUCAGGAGGUGUCGAAAGGAUCUGAUGCUGAGAUACUCGGAAUCCAAGAAGGUGAUCUUAUUGAAUGUAUGAAUGGAAAAUGCAUUUCUACCACAAUUGAGUUGGAAAAUACGUUGAUGAGCCUAUGUAAAGGCCUUUCAGACAGUCAAAAUGGCCAUAAUGCUGAAGUUUGUAUUUCUAUUGGGGUUUUUCACACACUCAAAAAAUACCGAAGUACCAGAGAGUUGACUGCGAAUGUAUCAGACCUUGGAGAAGUUAUU
rnacentral:rRNA from 1 species